rnacentral:lncRNA from 1 species
UCCAGCUGGCCUCACCUCUCAACAGAGCAGAGGGAGGGCAGCUGGGAUGCGGGGGCAAGGCUGACUUCCAGGGUUCCACCUUGGCCAGCGAAUGGAAGCUCUGUUCAAUGCCGUUUUGAAGGCAGCAGUACUCCUCUUUGAACUGAGGGGAGAAAGUGGAGGAAAAACAUCAAAACUGAUUUUAUGUCACCCCUUUUGAGAAGCUGGUUUGAAAGUCAGAUCACCAUCCUGGACCAGGAAACAAGCACAGAUAUCCACAGGAGCCAGAGAGCCGGGGGGAAGGAUUAAAGCAAGAGAAGAGU